ensembl:lncRNA
CCCGUGUGAUUACCUGUGAUCCUAUGAACGAGACGAGAUUCAUUUGUCUUCAAGAAGUCCGAUUACUCCGGCCAGCUGCUCUUGGAAGAAGGCAAACAGGCAGAGUUGGUGAAACAGCAAUUGAGGGUCAACGAGAAGGUUGCCAGGGUGUUCCACCAUUUAAAGUGCCAUCAUCAACGGCCUGGCCGGUAGCUGUUCUGCCUCCCCUCAGGGCUGGCCACCUUAUCUCGCUUUGCCCUCAAGACUCUCGGCCAGGAAACCAGGUUCUCUGCCCGCGAGGACGACUAUGAGAUCGCCAGCUUUGCCCUCCGUCACAACUGUAUGGCAUCCUGGGAUGACACAGACUUCAUAAUCUUUGGCUCAGUCCCCUAUCUGUCUGUGAGUCAGCUGAGUCUAGACACCAUGACCACAUGCUGAUUUCCAGAGACAAACUGUCCCACGCCCUCCAGCUCCCUCUGCUCGCGUGUCUCCUUUGUAACGAUGAGAGCAGUAGAUGCAGCGGCCACGUAGUGAUGCACUGGCAGCUCACAGGACAUCCACAACCUCCACAAGUGGUGGAUGGGCCCAAACAGUGAGGGAAUAGCUUGUCUUUCCUGGAAAGCCACUGAAGGAGCCCAAAUUAGUAUCUCCCUUGCCGCUGGAUGCCGCUGCAUUUGAGUUGGAUUCAUUCUCAGUGGAACAUGGUCGCCUGGAAGGCUCUCUGAUGGCUGUGCUAUGCCUUGCGACCUACACUGCCAUGCAGAAAGGUAAUACUAUUAUCACAUAUGACCGCCAAGCACUUCUGGACAUCAGAUCGACACUUACAAACCUCGAUUUCCACUUCAAACGCGACUCAGCUGUUCCACUGUUCAUUCCGGACCAUAUUCAUUUGUUCCAUGGCUACCUAAACAGUGCAGGUGUAGACGCGGGAGACAAGGUGGAGUCCUGGUAAAAUUGAAAGAGAAAACCGAAUGACUCACUCCUCCAUUCUAUUGCUAAAUGUCCAGUCACUCGAGAAUAAGAUGGAUGAGCUUAGUUCGAGGGUCUCCUAUUAGAGAGACUUGAAAAACUGCAAUAUAUUAUGUCUUACUGAAACAUGGCUGGAUGAUGAUGCUAUGCACAUAGUUCUCGGUGGAUUCUCCAUGCAGUGGCAGAAUCAUACUGCGGCUUCGGGGAAGUCAAAAGGACGUGGAGUGUGUUUUUUCAUAAAUAACAACUGGUGUGCUGCUUCAAGUGUGAAGGAAAUCUCAAGCUUUUGCUCACCUUAUAUAGAAUCCCUCAUGGUAAGCUGCAGACCAUCUCAUCUGUAAUUAUCUCAGCUGUCUACAUCCCUUCACAAGCCAACACCACUCUGGCACUUAACGAACUGUAUCGGGCUAUAAACAAACAACUCACCCAGAGGCAGCGUUUCUGGUGGGCAGAGACUUUAACGCAGAGCGACAUAAAACCCGUCCUACCUCCGUCCUGACAUAUUGCCAAGGCUGGUUGGUUGGGUCGAGAACAGGAACAUCCCCCAAGUCAUCCAGGAGCAUCCUACGAGCUCCAUUCACCAGGGAAGGGGAGCCCCCUUUGGGGAGGGAAUCCUGCGACACUUCCACCAGACCAGAGCGGCGUCCGGCUACUUGGGUAGAAGAAAAAGAAAAACCAGGCUGGCGUGGAUUCCCCAGCAGCUUGUGUAGGUUCGCUACUUGUUUUCUAAGAGUAGCCACUUCACCCCUGUAGUCCUCUGCAAGCAAACAGUUGCUACAUUGAAAGUCAGAGUGGUCCACAUUGUCCCGGAAUAAAGCAAAGUUAAUACAGCUCCUGCAGCAUUGAGAACAUUCAAUAGCGACCUCCAUUUGAGCCUGCCAGCUAGGCUAGCUGGGUUUCCGUGUUUCUCUCUUUACAUGGAAUCUGCGGGAACCCAGGACAGAGAGUA